AAGACCUUACUUGAACAGGAUCUGUUCUAUAGGCUCGUACCUCUGUAUUCUUGGUUCCUAAGAAGACAGAAACCCAUAUCUGGUUGAUGAAUCAGGACCAUGUAACCAGAGCGUGAUUAACGGAUUGGUCAUGGCAUCGGUAGAUGAUCGUUGUCAGCUCAUCUUCGAUGUGUUCUGGCAUGGUUAUAUGGUUGUCUGACAGAUA